AGCGCAUUUGUCGAGAAUGGGCCCCACCUCGCCGUUUCAUGUUGUGCUCACGUAUCGGCGUUCAUUGGCGCUAGCGAGUCACAAUGGCCGCUCCUAUAGUCCCGCUUUUGGAAUGUGUCGGCCAGCCUCGGCGACGCAUCUUUCGAGACGCAUUUGAAGAGUUGACGGAGGAAGAGUUCCGCGGGCAUUUCCGGCUCUCAAAGAGUACUGUGUGGUGGCUCUGCGAGCAAUUGGAGGAUGCCAUCGGUGGCCUUCGGACCGGUGGCAUCACGACGCAAGAGAGGGUCCUUUGUGCUCUCCGUUUAUUCGCGACGGGGAGCUUCCAGAGAUCCAUCGGCAGCGAAGAAUUCAUAUGCAUGGGUCAGACGUCCGUGAGCGAGAGUAUCCACGCGGUUGCGGAAGCAGUAACCGUGGUGGGCCGGCAACAGCGCUGGGUGAGCUUUCCGUUGACACCAGCCGGGAAGGCUAGCGCAAAGGCAGCCUUUUCGGAUCGCGGCCACAUUCCCGGUGUGGUGGCCUGUGUCGACGGGACGCUCAUAGCCAUUAAACAGCCGGAAGGACUCCGCCCGGGCGAGACUGCGGGCUUCAUGUCAAGAAAAGGCUUCUGCGCCCUAAAUGUCAUGGUCGUAUGUGAUGCCAACAUGCACAUCUUGGACAUCGAUCCCCGCUUCCCCGGAUCCUGCCACGACUCAUACUCCGGAGGCACUCACCACUCUUAGGUCGCCUGGCCACUAACUUUCGACGUGGCGAAUGCGUGCUUGGUGAGUGCCUCAUACACGUUGCAGUCAGUGAAGUAUAUUACACAGUUACGAUGUUUCCAACAUGCAGGAGACUCGGGCUACCCCCUUGAGCCGUGGCUGCUGACACUUGUUCCAGGCCAUCCAGGCACCCACACGCCCGAGGGGCGCUACAACCUGGCCCAUGCCUCCAUGAGGAAUGUUGUGGAAAGGGGCAUUGGCGUCUUGAAGGCAAGGUUCCGGUGCCUUCAAAGGCAGCGGACCCUACGGUACCAGCCUAAGGAAGCAGCCACAAUUGUGGCAGCUUGCGCCACUCUCCGCAACAUUGCUUUGAAGGCAGGGGAGCCGGAGCUGCAAGACAGCGACGAUGAGGAGGCCGAGAAGAACCAGCCGCUGCAGCAAGGACGAGUGAGACAGGGCGCGCCUGUAUCGCAAGGACCACACACUUGCCGCCAGGAAACACCCAGAGAGUUGCUCCUGAGGGCAAAGCAGUUGAGGAGCCAGGUGAUCAACCUGUUCUUUGUGGCCCCUACCUGGCGUACAACUCAUUUACGUGCGCUACACCGCCGGCUCAGGCAGCAACAGCAGGUUUCUCGUCCAGCACAACCAUAAAGACAGCUACAGCUUGCUGCAUUAGCAGGCCCAGCAGCUGCGAAAGCUGGCCCACUGGCUGGAGUGUCUCGGCCAGUUGCUGCGACUGCCGCUCC
rnacentral:misc_RNA from 1 species